rnacentral:guide_RNA from 1 species
AUAAUAAACAAAAAUAGGACACAGAGAUAAGUGAAGUAAGUUAAUAUUAAUAAGUAUA